AUAUUCUUCUGGAUGGCUAUGCUGAGGUGGUGGUUGGUCCAAUCCAUGGUGUAGGCAAAGUCGGUCAGCAUGGUGGAGUUGUGCUGUGGGGAGGACACUGGUUUGGAGAUCUAGGCGACUAUCUGCGUGCUGGGUGGAUCAGUAGCCCACCUUGGGAUAGAGGCAAGCGGCGCUUCACUGUUGGGGAACGUUGCAGAAAACAAAAAAUUUCCUACGGUUUCACCAAGAUCCAUCUAUGAGUUCAUCUAGCAACGACUGAUUGGAUGCAUCUACGUACCUUGUAGAUCGCGAGCGGAAGCGUUCAAAGAAUGGGGAUGAGGGAGUCGUACUCGACAUGAUCCAAAUCACCGGAGAUCCUAGUGCCGAACGGACGGCACCUCCGCGUUCAACACACGUACAGUCAGCGUGACGUCUCCUCCUUCUUGAUCCAGCAAGGGAAGGAGAGGUUGAGGAAGAUGGCUCCAGCAGCAGCACGACAGCGUGGUGGUGGUGGAGAAGCAGUACUCCUACAGGGGUUCGCCGAGCUCUACGGAGGAGGAGGAGGUGUUGGAGGGGAGAGGGAGGCGCCAAGGGCAUGGGUGCGGCUGCCCUCCCUCCCCCCCUCUAUAUAUAGGGGACCUAGGGGGGGCGCCAGCCCUAGGAGAUCCAAUCUCCUACGGGGGGCGGCGGCCAAGGGGGGUGGAGUGCCCCCCAAGGCAAGUGGGAAGCCCCCCCCCCCCACCCUAGGGUUUCAACCCUAGGCGCAAGGGGUGGGCCUUGGGGGGCGCACCAGCCCACUAAGGGCUGGUUCCCCUCCCCACUUCAGCCCAUGGGGCCCUCCAGGAUGGGUGGCCCCACCCGGUGGACCCCCGGGAACCUUCCGGUGGUCCUGGUACAAUACCGUGACCCCCGAAACUCCCCCGAUGGCCGAAACUGCACUUCCUAUAUAUAAUUCUUCACCUCCGGACCAUUCCGGAACUCCUCGUGACGUCCGGGAUCUCAUCCGGGACUCCGAACAACAUUCGGGUUACUGCAUAUUCAUAUCCCUACAACCCUAGCGUCACCGAACCUUAAGUGUGUAGACCCUACGGGUUCGGGAGACAUGUAGACAUGACCGAGAUGGCUCUCCGGUCAAUAACCAACAGCGGGAUCUGGAUACCCAUGUUGGCUCCCACAUGCUCCUCGAUGAUCUCAUCGGAUGAACAACGAUGUCGAGGAUUCAAGCAACCCCGUAUACAAUUCCCUUUGUCAAUCGGUAUGUUACUUGCCCGAGAUUCGAUCGUCGGUAUCCCAAUACCUUGUUCAAUCUCGUUACCGGCAAGUCACUUUACUCGUACCAUAAUGCAUGAUCCCGUGACCAGAAACUUGGUCACUUUGAGCUCAUAAUGACGAUGCAUCACCGAGUGGGCCCAGUGAUACCUCUCCGUCAUACGGAGUGACAAAUCCCAGUCUUGAUCCGUGUCAACCCAACAGACACUUUUGGAGAUACACGUAGUAUACCUUUAUAGUCACCCAGUUACGUUGUGACGUUUGUUACACCCAAAGCACUCCUACGGCAUCCGGGAGUUACACGAUCUCAUGGUCUAAGGAAAAGAUACUUGACAUUGGAAAAACUCUAGCAAACGAACUAUACGAUCUUGUCCUAUGUUUAGGAUUGGGUCUUGUCCAUCACAUCAUUCUCCUAAUGAUGUGAUCUUGUUAUCAACGACAUCCAAUGUCCAUAGUCAGGAAACCAUGACUAUCUGUUGAUCAACGAGCUAGUCAACUAGAGGCUUACUAGGGACAUAUUGGUGUCUAUUAUUCACACAUGUAUUACGAUUUCCGGAUAACACAAUUAUCAUGAACAAGGAAAUAUAAUAAUAAUGCUUUUAUUAUUGCCUCUAGGGCAUAUUUCCAACAGUCUCCCACUUGCACUAGAGUCAAUAAUCUAGUUACAUUGUGAUGAAUCGAACACCCAUGGAAUUCUGGUAUUGAUCAUGUUUUGCUCUAGGGAGAGGUUUAGUCAACGGAUCUGCUACAUUCAGGUCCGUAUGUACUUUACAAAUAUAUAUGUCUCCAUCUUGAACAUUUUCACGAAUGGAGUUGAAGCGACGCUUGAUGUGCCUGGUCUUCUUGUGAAACCUGGGCUCCUUGGCAAGUGCAAUAGAUCAAGUGUUGUCACAGAAGAGUUUGAUUGGCCCUGACGCAUUGGGUAUGACUCCUAGGUCGGUGAUGAAAUCCUUCACCCAAAUUGCUUCAUGCGCUGCCUCCGAGGCUGCCAUGUACUCCGCUUCACAUGUAGAUCCCGCCACGACGCUCUGCUUGCAACUGCACCAGCUUACUGCCCCACCAUUCAAAAUAUACACGUAUCCGGUUUGUGACUUAGAGUCAUCCAGAUCUGUGUCGAAGCUAGCAUCGACGUAACCCUUUACGACAAGCUCUUCGUCACCUCCAUAAAUGAGAAACAUUUCCUUAGUCCUUUUCAGGUACUUCAGGAUAUUCUUGACCGCUGUCCAGUGUUCCUUGCCGGGAUUACUUUGGUACCUUCGUACCAAACUUACGGCAAGGUUUACAUCAGGUCUGGUACACAGCAUGGCAUACAUAAUAGAACCUAUGGCUGAGGCAUAGGGGAUGACGCUCACACCUUGCAACACAGGCAAGAACCCCUUCUUAGACUGAUCCAUAUUGAACUUCUUCAAUAUCUUAUCAAGGUAUGUGCUUUGUGCAAGACCUAUGAGGCGUCUUGAUCUAUCUCUAUAGAUCUUGAUGCCUAAUAUAUAUGCUGCUUCUCCAAGGUCCUUCAUUGAAAAACUCUUAUUGAAGUAGGCCUUAAUGCUGUCCAAGAGUUCUAUACCAUUUCCCAUCAAAAGUAUGUCAUCUACAUAUAAUAUGAGAAAUGCUACAGAGCUCCCACUCACUUUCUUGUAAACGCAGGCUUCUCCAUAAGUCUGCGUAAACCCAAACGCUUUGAUCAUCUCAUCAAAGCGAAUGUUCCAACUCCGAGAUGCUUGCACCAGCCCAUAAAUCGAGCGUUGGAGCUUGCACACCUUGUCAGCAUUCUUAGGAUCGACAAAACCUUCCGGCUGCAUCAUAUACAAUUCUUCCUUAAAGAAACCAUUAAGGAAUGCUGUUUUGACGUCCAUUUGCCAUAUCUCAUAAUCAUAGAAUGCGGCAAUUGCUAACAUGAUUCGGACGGACUUUAGCUUCGCUACCGGUGAGAAAGUCUCACCGUAGUCAACCCCUUGAACUUGUCGAUAACCCUUAGCGAUAAGCCGAGCUUUAUAGAUGGUCAAAUUACCAUCCGCGUCUGUCUUCUUCUUAAAGAUCCAUUUAUUUUCUAUGGCUCGCCGCUCAACAGGCAAGUCAGUCAAAGUCCAUACUUCGUUUUCAUACAUGGAUCCUAUCUCGGAUUUCAUGGCUUCUAGCCAUUUGUCGGAAUCAGGGCCCGCCAUCGCUUCUUCAUAGUUCGAAGGUUCACCGUUGUCUAACAACAUGAUUUCCAAGACAGGGUUGCCGUACCACUCUGGUGCGGAACAUGUCCUUGUGGACCUACGAAGUUCAGUAGCAACUUGAUCUGAAGUUUCAUGAUCAUCAUCAUUAACUUCCUCUCUAGUCGGUGCAGGCACCUCAGGAACAUUUUCUUGAGUUGCGCCAUUUUCUGGUUCAAGAGGUAAUACUUCAUCAAGUUCUACUUUCCUCCCACUUACUUCUUUCGAGAGAAACUCUUUCUCUAGAAAGGAUCCAUUCUUGGCAACAAAGAUCUUGCCUUCGGAUCUGAGGUAGAAGGUAUACCCAAUAGUUUCUUUAGGGUAUCCUAUGAAGUCGCAUUUUUCCGACUUGGGUUCGAGCUUCUCAGGUUGAAGUUUCUUGACAUAAGCAUCGCAUCCCCAAACUUUUAGAAACGACAGCUUAGGUUUAUCCCCAAACCAUAAUUCAUACGGUGUCGUCUCAACGGAUUUCGACGGAGCCCUAUUUAAAGUGAAUGCGGCAGUCUCUAAAGCAUAGCCCCAAAAAGAUAGCGGUAAAUCGGUAAGAGACAUCAUAGAUCGCACCAUAUCUAAUAGAGUGCGAUUACAACGUUCGGACACACCAUUACGCUGAGGUGUUCCAGGCGGCGUGAGUUGUGAAACUAUUCCACAUUUUCUUAAGUGUGUGCCAAAUUCGUGACUCAAGUAUUCUCCUCCAUGAUCUAAUCGCAAAAACUUGAUUUUUCUGUCACGUUGAUUCUCAACCUCACUCUAAAAUUCCUUGAACUUUUCAAAGGUUUCAGACUUGUGUUUCAUUAAGUAGACAUACCCAUAUCUACUCAAGUCAUCAGUGAGGGUGAGAACAUAACGAUAGCCACCGCGAGCCUCAACGCUCAUUGGACCGCACACAUCAGUAUGUAUGAUUUCCAAUAAGUUGGUUGCUCGCUCCAUUGUUCCUGAGAACGGAGUCUUGGUCAUUUUACCCAUGAGGCAUGGUUCGCACGUGUCAAAUGAUUCGUAAUCAAGAGACUCUAAAAGUCCAUCAGCAUGGAGCUUCUUCAUGCGUUUGACACCUAUGUGACCAAGGCGGCAAUGCCACAAGUAUGUGGGACUAUCAUUAUCAACAUUACAUCUUUUGGUACUCACACUAUGAACAUGUGUAGCAUUACGCUCGAGAUUCAUUAAGAAUAAACCAUUCACCAUCGGAGCAUGACCAUAAAACAUAUCUCUCAUAUAAAUAGAACAACCAUUAUUCUCGGAUUUAAAUGAGUAGCCAUAUCGAAUUAAACGAGAUCCUGAUACAAUGUUCAUGCUCAAAGCUGGCACUAAAUAACAAUUAUUGAGGUUUAAUACUAAUCCCGUAGGUAAAUGUAGAGGUAGCGUGCCGACGGCGAUCACAUUGACCUUGGAACCAUUCCCGACGCGCAUCGUCACCUCGUCCUUCGCCAGUCUCCGCUUAUUCCGUAGCACCUGCUUUGAGUUACAAAUGUGAGAAACUGCACCGGUAUCAAAUACCCAGGAGCUACUACGAGUACUGGUAAGGUACACAUCAAUGACAUGUAUAUCACAUAUACCUUUUGUUUUGCCGGCCUUCUUGUCCGCUAAGUAUUUGGGGCAGUUCCGCUUCUAGUGACCACUUCCUUUGCAAUAAAAGCACUCAGUCUCGGGCUUGGGUCCAUUCUUUGGCUUCUUCCCGGUAGCUUGCUUACCGGGCGCGGCAACUCGCUUGCCGUCCUUCUUGAAGUUCUUCUUACCUUUGCCUUUCUUGAACUUAGUGGUUUUAUUCACCAUCAACACUUGAUGUUCCUUUUUGACUUCUACCUCUGCUGAUUUCAGCAUUGCAAAUAAUUCAGGAAUGGUCUUUUCCAUCCCCUGCAUAUUGAAGUUCAUCACAAAGCUCUUGUAGCUCGGUGGAAGCGACUGAAGGAUUCUGUCAAUGACCGCGUCAUCCGGGAGAUUAACUCCCAGCUGAGUCAAGCGGUUGUGUAACCCAGACAUUGUGAGUAUGUGCUCACUGACAGAACUAUUUUCCUCCAUCUUACAGCUGAAAAACUUGUCGGAGACUUCAUAUCUCUUGACCCGGGCAUGAGCUUGAAAAACCAUUUUCAGCUCUUCGAACAUCUCAUAUGCUCCGUGUCUCUCAAAACGUUUUUGGAGCCCCGGUACUAAGCUGUAAAGCAUGCUGCACUGAACGAGGGAGUAAUCAUCAGCACGUGUCUGCCAAGCAUUCAUAACGUCUUGGUUCCGUGGGACGGGUGCGUCACCUAGCGGUGCUUGUAGGACAUAAUCUUUCUUGGCAGGUAUGAGGAUGAUCCUCAGGUUCCGGACCCAGUCCGUAUAGUUGCUGCCAUUGUCUUUCAGCUUGGUUUUCUCUAGGAACGCGUUGAAGUUGAGGACAACGUUGGCCAUUUGAUCUACAAGACAUAUUGUAAAGAUUGUAGACUAAGUUCAUGAUAAUUAAGUUCAUCUAAUCAAAUUAUUCAAUGAACUCCCACUCAGAUAGACAUCCCUCUAGUCAUCUAAGUAUAACAUGAUCCGAGUUAACUAGGCCGUGUCCGAUCAUCACGUGAGACGAACUAGUCAACGUCGGUGAACAUCUUCAUGUUGAUCGUAUCUUCUAUACGACUCAUGCUCGACCUUUCGGUCUUCUGUGUUCCGAGCCCAUGUCUGUACAUGCUAGGCUCAUCAAGUCAACCUAAGUGUUUGCAUGUGUAAAUCUAUCUUACACCCGUUGAAUGUGAACGUUGGAAUCUAUCACACCCGAUCAUCACGUGGUGCUUCGAAACAACGAACUUGUCGCAACGGUGCACAGUUAGGGGGAACACUUUCUUGAAAUUAUUAUGAGGGAUCAUCUUAUUUACUACCAUCGUUCUAAGUAAACAAGAUGUACAAAACAUGAUAAACAUCACAUGCAAUCAAAUAAUAAUAGUGACAUGAUAUGGCCAAUAUCACAUAGCUCCUUUGAUCUCCAUCUUGGGGCUCCAUGAUCUUCUUGUCACCGGCAUGACACCAUGAUCUCCAUCAUCAUGAUCUCCAUCAUCGUGUCUCCAUGAAGUUGCUCGCCAACUAUUACUUCUACUACUAUGGCUAACACGUUUAGCAAUAAAGUAAAGUAAUUUACAUGGCGUUUCUCAAUGACACGUAGGUCAUACAAAAAUAAAGACAACUCCCUAUGGCUGCUGCCGGUUGUCAUACUCAUCGACAUGCAAGUCGUGAUUCCUAUUACAAGAACAUGAUCUCAUACAUCACAUAUAUAUCAUUCAUCAUUCAUCACAACUUUGGCCAUAUCACAUCACAGAACACUUGCUGCAAAAACAAGUUAGACGUCCUCUAAUUGUUGUUGCAAGUUUUACGUGGCUGCAAUAGGGUUCUAGCAAGAACGUUUUCUUACCUACGUGAAAGCCACAACGUGAUUUGUCAACUUCUAUUUACUCUUCAUAAGGACCCUUUUCAUCGAAUCCGCUCCAACUAAAGUGGGAGAGACAAACACCCGCCAGCCACCUUAUGCAACUAGUGCAUGUUAGUCGGUGGAACCGGUCUCACGUAAGCGUACGUGUAAGGUUGGUCCGGGCCGCUUAAUACCACAAUACCGCUGAAGCAAGAUAAGACUAGUAGCGGCAAGAAAGUUGACAACAUCUACGCCCACAACUAAUUAUGUUCUACUCCUGCAAAGAGAACUACGCAUAGACCUAGCUCAUCAUGCCACUGUUGGGAACGUUGCAGAAAACAAAAAAUUUCCUACGGUUUCACCAAGAUCCAUCUAUGAGUUCAUCUAGCAAUGAGUGAUUGGAUGCAUCUAUGUACCUUGUAGAUCGCGAGCGGAAGCGUUCAAAGAACGGGGAUGACGGAGUCGUACUCGACGUGAUCCGAAUCACCGGAGAUCCUAGCGCCGAACGGACGACACCUCCGCGUUCAACACACGUACGGUCAGCGUGACGUCUCCUCCUUCUUGAUCCAGCGAGGGGAAGGAGAGGUUGAGGAAGAUGGCUCCAGCAGCAGCACGACGGCGUGGUGGUGGUGGAGAAGCAGUACUCCGACAGGGCUUCGCCGAGCUCUACGAAGGAGGAGGAGGUGUUGGAGGGGAGAGGGAGGCGCCAAGGGCAAGGGUGCGGCUGCCCUCCCUCCCCCCCUCUAUAUAUAGGGGCCCUAGGGGGGGGGGGCGCCGGCCCUAGGAGAUCCAAUCUCCUAGGGGGGCGGCGGCCAAGGGGGGUGAAGUGCCCCCCAAGGCAAGUGAGAAGCCCCCCCCCCCACCCUAGGGUUUCAACCCUAGGCGCAAGGGGUGGGCCUUGGGGGGCGCACCAGCCCACUAAGGGCUGGUUCCCCUCCCCACUUCAGCCCAUGGGGCCCUCCGGGAUGGGUGGCCCCACCCGGUGGACCCCCAGGAACCUUCUGGUGGUCCCGGUACAAUACCGGUGACCCCCGAAACUCCCCCGAUGGCCGAAACUGCACUUCCUAUAUAUAAUUAUUCACCUCCGGAUCAUUCCAGAACUCCUCGUGAUGUCCGGGAUCUCAUCCGGGACUCCGAACAACUUUCGGGUUACUGCAUAUUCAUAUCCCUAUAACCCUAGCGUCACCGAACCUUAAGUGUGUAGACCCUACGGGUUCGGGAGACAUGUAGACAUGACCGAGAUGGCUCCCCGUUCAAUAACCAACAGCGAGAUCUGGAUACCCGUGUUGGCUCCCACAUGCUCCUCGAUGAUCUCAUCGGAUGAACCACAAUGUCGAGGAUUCAAGAAACCCCGUAUACAAUUCCCUUUGUCAAUCGGUAUGUUACUUGCCCGAGAUUCGAUCGUUGGUAUCCCAAUACCUUGUUCAAUCUCGUUACCGGCAAGUCACUUUACUCGUACCGUAAUGCAUGAUCCCGUGACCAGACACUUGGUCACUUUGAGCUCAUAAUGAUGAUGCAUCACCGAGUGGGCCCAGUGAUACCUCUCCAUCAUACGGAGUGACAAAUCCCAGUCUAGAUCCGUGUCAACCCAACAGACACUUUUGGAGAUACCCGUAGUAUACCUUUAUAGUCACCCAGUUACCUUGUGACGUUUGGUACACCCAAAGCACUCCUACGGCAUCCGGGAGUUACACGAUCUCAUGGUCUAAGGAAAGGAUACUUGACAUUGGAAAAACUCUAGCAAACGAACUAUACGAUCUUGUGCUAUGUUUAGGAUUGGGUCUUGUCCAUCACAUCAUUCUCCUAAUGAUGUGAUCUCGUUAUCAAUGACAUCCAAUGUCCAUAGUUAGGAAACCAUGACUAUCUGUUGAUCAACGAGCUAGUCAACUAGAGGCUUACUAGGGACAUAUUGGUGUCUAUUAUUCACACAUGUAUUACGAUUGCCGGAUAACACAAUUAUAGCAUGAAUAAAGACAAUUAUCAUGAACAAGGAAAUAUAAUAAUAAUGCUUUUAUUAUUGCCUCUAGGGCAUAUUUCCAACAUUCACGUGUGCCUCGCCAUGCCACAACAGUGGCCUUGACAAUGUUUAAUCAUAAGACCACUAUUUUUAUGUCUAUAUGAAGUGUUCACUUCGUCUAUAUCUUGGCAAUGUUUAAUCAUAAAACCACUAAUUCUUUGUCUAUAUGCAUUGUUCACUUCAUCUAUAUCAUACUUAUUUUAUAUGACAAAUCAUCUUUACAUAUUAGCUAGGCCUAACUACAACAGUAGAAAUAUGGUGAAAACUAAUAUGAAACAACAACUUUUGUCACAUAUACCAAACCAAGGUUGCUUAUCAGUAAACACCUCAUUAUUUAGCAUAUGCUUUAGGGCCAAAUUAUGUUUCAUGUGCCAUUAUUAUUGCCUUUUUUAAUACAUUAUUUAAAUCCUUAUGUGACACCAAUCUUAAACAGAUCCAUCUAUCAACGAUGUCGAGAAAGCUCUGCCACAAGAAAGUGAUGACUCUGUCUGGUGUC
rnacentral:lncRNA from 1 species